rnacentral:rRNA from 1 species
GACAGAGGUGCCAAGCGUUAGGCGGAAUCACUGGGCUUAAAGCGUGUGUAGGCGGACUUGUAAGUACCUUGUGAAAUCCCACGGCUCAACCGUGGAACUGCUCGGUAUACUGCUUGUCUUGAGCCACUUAGGGGCUGUCGGAACAAACGGUGGAGCGGUGAAAUGCGUAGAUAUCAGGAGGAACACCGGUGGCGAAGGCGGGUCUCUGGGCCGUAACUGACGCUGAGGAGCGAAAGCGUGGGGAGCGAACAGG